rnacentral:lncRNA from 1 species
GUUUGUUUAAAAUCCUGUUCCCAAACUGACUUUAAGCACUCAUCUAGCCAACAUUCGCUGUUGUGAACAGGUACAAUGACUGACUGCACGGCGCCGGGGGGGCUCCCUGCGGCCCUCUCCGCCUCCGCCAUGGUCGCCUCCGCCCCUCAGGCCGCCCUUUUCUCUUCAGGAACCGCCUCGGAGCGCUGCUGCCCGCCUCAGGACGGCGCAUCCGGCCCGCCCCGCUCCCUCACGCCCUUCCCGCCCGCAGCAGCGGCGCGUGCCCCCCUCCCUCGUGGCGCGUUCGUGGGGAGGCGGUCGCGGAGAGGCCGGAAGCGCCGUGGCGGGGCGGUGCUGCGGGCGGGCCCGGCGCGCUCCGUCGUUUUAAAGCCUCCCGCCGUCGCUGCUCCCCGGUUGUGCUCGGCCGCGUCCCGCCCGGAUCGGGGUUCUUUGGCUCAGGCCUGGCAGGGAUCGAAGGCCGUCUGUAGAGGCGCUCAUAAAUAAGCGUGCCCGCCGUUUCCCCCAUGCUCCCUCGUAUUUGUUCCAGUUAGCACAUCCCAUGCUUUAGACGGCUGCGUUCAGUGCUGCCCUUGUUAUUAUUUCCCCAUCGCCUUAAAAUACGUGCAUUUUCACUAUUAUUAUCAAUCGUCUGCUCAGUGGAGCCGUCGCUGUGCCACCACUCACUUCCUUGAAAGCGCUCACGACAGAAGGGAUGGCAGGACGAGGCCCUGCACAACGACCUGCUCAGAAGUACCAGAAACCCACACAAAGCAGUCCUUGUUGAGCAAAAUCCCGAGAUUACCCGUGUUUAUCUGAGGGCCUGUUACACGGCCGGGCAAUCCAAGGAGCAAACACAGCACAGUUAUCUUAAAACGUUUGCUGGCACACCAGGCUGAGAAUCGGGGAGGUGAGGAGGGCGGCCAGGCGGUAAUUCACCCUGCGAAUCUAUUCCGCAUUAUCUGCACAGCUCCCCCCCAUCCAGCCUGGAUUUAAUCUCUCUGUGAACGGCGUUGCUAAAUGUGGUCGUUUAUUUUUCUGGCGACGAGGACUGCUAGCACGGCUCUGCUGCCUGCAUGCUUUGCUUUGUCUAAGGAAGUUAGCAGAGUGUUGCUUUACUGAUGCUGAACCACACAGAAGGCCCAGUCAGACCAGUGCCUCAAUGUAUGAAGCAGCCCACAAGACACAGGGAGAACCCCUCGCUUCCUUCCCCCAAGGAAAGAGAACAAUCGAAACCACCAGAAGCACUUUCUAAGCUAUGUUCUGCAGCUGACCACAGAGGGUAGCUAAAUACAUCUAUUUCAGUUCCAAAAUCUCAUUUUGGAGUCUUCUGGACAGAGUUUUAAGGGUCCACGAGCAUGCAAAAACCAUUCCGUGGGACUCCACUCCAACCCAGGCAUCCAACUUCACUGCGCAAGCCUUUAU